AGCAGCCAUUGCGGUAAUUCCAGCUCCAAUAGCGUAUAUUAAAGUUGCUGCGGUUAAAAAGCUCGUAGUUGAAUUUCGGAAUUGAUGCAUCGGUCGUGCCUUAAGGGGCAUGAAUUGGUGUAGCCAAUUUCUCACCUUCUGGUGAAUUGUUGAUGUUCUUAAUGGGUGUCUCAAUGAACUAGAAUUUUUUACUUUGAAAAAAUUAGAGUGUUUAAAGCAGGCAUUAAUUUGCUUGAAUACAUUAGCAUGGAAUAAUAAAAUAGGACAGUGGUUCCGUUUUGUUGGUUUCUAGGAUCACGUAAUGAUUAAUAGGGACAGUUGGGGGCAUUAGUAUUCAAUUGUCAGAGGUGAAAUUCUUGGAUUUAUUGAAGACUAACUAUUGCGAAAGCAUUUGCCAAGGAUGUUUUCAUUAAUCAAGAACGAAAGUUAGGGGAUCAAAGACGAUUAAGUACGUCGUAGUCCUAACCAUAAACUAUACCGACUAGGAAUCAGACGAUGUUAAUGUUUUAAUGACUCGUUUGGUACCUUACG
rnacentral:rRNA from 1 species